UACAUAGCAUAUCAGAAGGCACACCCGGAGAACUGAAACAUCUUAGUACCCGGAGGAAGAAAAAGAAAAUUCGAUUCCCUUAGUAGCGGCGAGCGAAACGGGAAGAGCCCAAACCAACAAGCUUGCUUGUUGGGGUUGUAGGACACUCUAUACGGAGUUACAAAGGACGACAUUAGACGAAUCAUCUGGAAAGAUGAAUCAAAGAAGGUAAUAAUCCUGUAGUCGAAAAUGUUGUCUCUCUUGAGUGGAUCCUGAGUACGACGGAACACGUGAAAUUCCGUCGGAAUCUGGGAGGACCAUCUCCUAAGGCUAAAUACUCUCUAGUGACCGAUAGUGAACCAGUACCGUGAGGGAAAGGUGAAAAGCACCCCGGAAGGGGAGUGAAAUAGAACCUGAAACCGUGUGCUUACAAGUAGUCAGAGCCCGUUAAUGGGUGAUGGCGUGCCUUUUGUAGAAUGAACCGGCGAGUUACGAUUUGAUGCAAGGUUAAGCAGUAAAUGUGGAGCCGUAGCGAAAGCGAGUCUGAAUAGGGCGUUUAGUAUUUGGUCGUAGACCCGAAACCAGGUGAUCUACCCUUGGUCAGGUUGAAGUUCAGGUAACACUGAAUGGAGGACCGAACCGACUUACGUUGAAAAGUGAGCGGAUGAACUGAGGGUAGCGGAGAAAUUCCAAUCGAACCUGGAGAUAGCUGGUUCUCUCCGAAAUAGCUUUAGGGCUAGCCUCAAGUGAUGAUUAUUGGAGGUAGAGCACUGUUUGGACGAGGGGCCCCUCUCGGGUUACCGAAUUCAGACAAACUCCGAAUGCCAAUUAAUUUAACUUGGGAGUCAGAACAUGGGUGAUAAGGUCCGUGUUCGAAAGGGAAACAGCCCAGACCACCAGCUAAGGUCCCAAAAUAUAUGUUAAGUGGAAAAGGAUGUGGCGUUGCCCAGACAACUAGGAUGUUGGCUUAGAAGCAGCCAUCAUUUAAAGA
rnacentral:rRNA from 1 species